AACGAACGCUGGCGGCGCGUCUUAAACAUGCAAGUCGAACGAUCUGUAGCAAUACAGGGAGUGGCGGACGGGUGAGGAACACGUAGGAAUCUACCUUGAAGAGCGGGACAACUUUGGGAAACCGGGGCUAAUACCGCAUAGUACAGAGAUGUUAAAGGGCUAGCAAUAGUCGCUUCGAGAUGAGCCUGCGGUCUAUCAGCUUGUUGGUGAGGUAAUGGCUCACCAAGGCUACGACGGAUAGCCGGUCUGAGAGGAUGAUCGGCCACACUGGCACUGAGACACGGGCCAGACUCCUACGGGAGGCAGCAGUUAAGAAUCUUGCGCAAUGGGGGAAACCCUGACGCAGCGACGCCGCGUGAAGGAUGAAGGCUUUCGGGUUGUAAACUUCGGUAGACUGGGAAGAAGAAAUAACGUUCGUUGAGGGCGUAUAGUGACGGUACCAGUCUGAAGCCCGGCUAAUUACGUGCCAGCAGCCGCGGUAAU
rnacentral:rRNA from 1 species